UCCUGGUGGCUCAGAUGGUAAAGAAUCUGCCUGUAAUGCAGAGAUCCAGGUUCAACCCCUGGGUCAGGAA
rnacentral:tRNA from 1 species